GACGUAGGGCGCAAGCGUUGUCCGGAAUUAUUGGGCGUAAAGGGCUCGUAGGCGGCCAACUAAGUCGGAUGUGAAAUCCCCAGGCUCAACUUGGGAACUGCAUCCGAUACUGGAUGGCUUGAAUUCGGGAGAGGGAUGCAGAAUUCCAGGUGUAGCGGUGAAAUGCGUAGAUAUCUGGAGGAAUACCGGUGGCGAAGGCGGCAUCCUGGACCGACAUUGACGCUGAGGAGCGAAAGCUAGGGGAGCAAACGGG
rnacentral:rRNA from 1 species